UAUCUCUGUAGAGUCUGCAUAUCAAUAAGCGGAGGAAAAGAAACUAACUAGGAUUCCCUCAGUAACGGCGAGUGAAGCGGGAAGAGCUCAAAUUUGAAAUCUUCAAGGUUCUACCUUGACGAAUUGUAGUUUAAAGAAGUGUUUUCUGUUAGAGUGAGUAGCAAAGUUCCUUGGAAUAGGACAUCAUAGAGGGUGAGAAUCCCGUAUUUGACUUAUUCAUUCUAGCUUUGUGAUACACUUUCAAAGAGUCGGAUUGUUUGGGAAUGCAGUCCAAAAUGGGUGGUAAAUUUCAUCUAAAGCUAAAUAUUGGCGAGAGACCGAUAGCGAACAAGUACCGUGAGGGAAAGAUGAAAAGAACUUUGAAAAGAGAGUUAAACAGUACGUGAAAUUGUCAAAAGGGAAGCGUUUGACACCAGUGUUGUUUUCUCGAAAAUCAAUUACAAAUGGCAGUGAUUCUGUGUUGUAUUGACCUUAUCAGCUUUCUGCACUUUUUCAUGUCUUUUUUAAUGCACUUUUCGUUUAACAAGUCAACAUCAAUUUCUUUUGUUGUAAAAAGGGUCAUUGGAAGGUGGCUUUCUUUUCGGAGAAAGUGUUUAUAGCCUUAUACCUCUACAAUCGGAGAGACUGAGGUCUGCAGCGUAGAUCCUCCGGGAUUAGAUUACAUUUGUGCUAAGUUGUACAGCCUUUUAUAGACAACUUGUUGACUAUAUUCGAUCCUGUAGGCUUACUCGCUUAGUGCUAUUUUACCUACGCUUAGGAUGUUGAAGAUGUAGCACAUCAU
rnacentral:rRNA from 1 species